rnacentral:tRNA from 4 species
GCCCAGGUAGCUCAGUCGGUAGAGCAAUGGACUGAAAAUCCAUGUGUCGGUGGUUCGAUUCCGCCCCUGGGCA